CUUAGUAAUGCCAAAAUGUCCCA
rnacentral:siRNA from 1 species